UCCACAAAUAUACAUCAUAAGUUCAUUUACAUGCUCUUCAAACUUUCAAAUUUGUGAUGAGCCAUAAACAAAAGUUCCCUUUAAAUGCGAUUCAAGCAUUACGUUGAAUCUCACUUUACAUGAAGGCACUUUAAAUGCAAUACAUCUAUUUACAAUGAAUUUCAAACUUACAUUGAGCAUGUUUACGUUCAAAACAUGGUUUCAGUGUCGGGUAAAAUUACAUUUUUUUUCUGUGUACGAUGUUUCGUUAACGAGCAUCAAUCGGAUUGGGAUGAUAGGUUGAAAUAUUGUCAAUUUAAUUACAACACAACUCCACAUACUAUUCAUGGGUACACACCUUAUGAAUUAGUGUUCGGUGUUAAAGCAAACUUACCACAUAGCAAUAAUCAAAGAAAUCUAGAUCCAGUCUACAAUUUAGAAGCAUACCACAAUGAGUUGAAAUUUAGAUUACAAAAGAGCCAAAAUUUAACAAAGUCAAUAUUAGAACAGCAAAAACAAGAAAAAACUCAAAUUUGUAACAAAAUAAUUAAUCCUAUCCACAUACAAAUAGGCGAUCUGGUUUAUCUAAAAAAGGAAAAUAUGAGAAAACUAGAUUCAUUUUACCAAGGUCCAUUUAGAAUCACACAAAUCAGAGAUCCGAAUUGCGAAUUAGAAGAACCUAUAACAAAAAAGAAAACAAUAGUGCACAAAAAUAGAAUAAUCAAAUAAACCACCGAGCCUAGCAUCAACAAUGCAGGUAAUUUUUUCCCAGCAAUAAACUGCGGAAGUGAAAAAUUCGGAUACAAAACAACAUACACAUACACAUACACAAUGUAACAAAACACAAUGUAACAAAGCAAACACACAACAACAAAAAUUCAUAAUUAUAUCAAAUAAAUUGUAAAUGGCUACUGGAGAAUGGCAAAGAAUAAUUUUACUUCAUAAAACUAUUCUUUUAAAGGGGGAAGGUGUAAUAGUCUGAACACCACUGCAUUCCCAACAUACCCAUUCACACUUAUUUUCCAUUUGUAUUACCAUGCCCGGACCUCGCACAACAAGACCAGGUUUUGUCUUUCAAAACACAAACCCUACCUGGCUGUAGAGCCCACACACAGUUAGAACCACUUGGCGCAAGCAUAAUUGCUGAUGCUUGCGUAUAGCCUUUUUCGAACCAUAUUUCGGUUCAUCGACAAUUGGCCGGGACGCUGACUCCUGCUGAGCCAGCGCAAGGGUUCAACCCAGUACAAGCCAACUCCAGAAGUCUAUACUGUAGCACGUAAGUGUCACCACUCAAAUUACAUGUUGUUCGGGUGGUAAUUAAAGAACCAAAUUUUUGUCCAGCAGUCGUUUCGCGACAGCUACAAAACUAAAAAGGUUUACUUACAAAUUUCGACGCUGUUCAAUGCAGCGUCCAGUGACGGUUAGCGACGAUGGUGCAGUUCCUGACUCUUCCUUUGCGGCUGGGUGUGCCUACGACGAAGGGUCUAUAAACCAAACCGAAAACUACUUUUAAACACUUUUUCUUCCUCAAACUCCGAAACUGAUCUUCGUGCCGAUCUUCAACGUUUACUUUGUUCUUACGCUGUGCCUCACACACAUACUUUUCUCGACCCUUUCGCGCGUGCGUUGACAGCUGUAAAGGCAUCGGUUGUUUACACCCUCGGCGCUGCACCGCUCGGCAGUGCGCCCAUCCCAGCGGUCGCAACACCCCAGCCCGUAACAUCCGUCGGGCCUUCCAGCACGUCGGAUUUACCUUGACAUCUAACAUUGCAAAGUUUCGUACUACUUUUCUUUUCACCUUCCCGUGUGCCGCCCUUGCGUCCGCAUGCCUGAACUUCCGCUUCGAUGUUUCGAACUCCAUCACUCUUCCUUGAAGGCGUAGAACCCGUUCUUCGUUGAUUGCUGGCCGCAUCUUGGACAGCACUAUCUUCUCUGACGAAUCUCCUAGUUCACCUUUCUUGUGGCGAUUAUUUGCGAUGGAACGUACCGCCAUGUGCCUGCCACUCACCAACUUCGUCCGCGGCGUGACUGUUGCAGAAUUGACUAUCCCCAGUUCCUCCAUGGUAGCUUUAUGCGCGCCACCCUUGGUCUGAUAAGCUGAAGAAUGUUCGUUGGCAUCGGUGGACAGCACCGGCGUUCUCCCGAAUCUCUUCUCCAGCGGUUCCUUUUGCUCGACAACCAUCGGGUUGUUGUCAGCUUCCCGCACAGCCUUCGAGCGAAUCCAAGAUGCACGCGUACUCGGCCGCAUCAUCGCAUGCACCCAUUGUUCCUUUACCGUCUCUUUUCGCACAAUUUCCGAUGCUUCUCUCAGGAAAUGCUCGCCAUUUAGCAGAUUGUGUGAUUCUUCGUUGAGCACUUCUUGAUGGCAGCCUAGGAAAGAAUUCGUACCUGCCGUCUCUGCAUCGUACGGUCCGUAAACCGUCCAUCCGAGUUUGCACCGUACUGCUACCGGGUCAACUUUCGUGCCGAGCUUCGUUUCAAGAGGUGCAAACGAGUGGAUGUUGUUCAGCCCGAUCAGCAUUCCCGGCCGACCGUCGUACGAGUUCAUCGGCAGCCCACGAAGAUGUUUGUAGUGCGCUGAAACUUCCUUGGCGUUCAGCUUUUGAUGCGGCAGCAUCAGCUUGUCCACCGUGCGUACUGAUUGUAGCAACUGUUUCUCCCCUUUCAAACCGUCGAUCGAUGAGGCCCAAAUAUUAAUUCGUCUCGAAUGCGGCUCCACUCGAGUAAUGUUGGCCGUACACUUGAUGGUGAGUUUCUCUUCCGUUCCGAGCAGUCCCAAACGAUUAGCUAACCCGUUCUCGAUCAGUGUGAGGGAAGAACCUUCGUCCAGAAAAGCGAGUACGACAAGCGAUUUUCCUCCGCAGUAAACCUUCACCGGAAGCAUACGGAACAGUACUGGACUAGUUGACCUGAUGUGCACGUUCAUGCCAACUGCUCUCGUCUCCGGAUGGAGUAGCGAAUUGUGUGGUUCGCGACAUUCUCCAAUGUUGCACCGGAAAUUGAGAUAGCAUUGACCACUGUGCUCGUUCAGA